CUUGCGCACUGAGUGAAGGCAGGCUGGACUCGCGGGCUCAAGCUGGGAAGGAGCAUGCGCGGAGAGAGCAGCCUGGGCGCCGAGGCAGCGGGGUGCUCGGUUCCCGGAGUGAUGGCGGAUGAGGCUGCCUGUGAGCGUGUCCGAGGCGGUCCUGUGAUGUUAAAGGUACACGUGGUCCGGACAAAAGGCGCCAAAGUCGGAACGAUUUCCAUUUAGCGGACGGAGUCUUGGGACAUCUUCGCUGUAGGAAUCAAUAACUCUCAUUUUUUUUUUUUGAGACGGAGUCUCGCUCUGUGGCCCAGGCUGGAGUGCAGUGGCGCGAUCUCGGCUCACCGCAACCUCCACCUUCCAGGUUCAAGCGAUUUCCCUGCCUCAGCCUCCCGAGUAGAUGGGAUUACAGUCGCGCGCCACCACGCCCGGCUAAUUUUUUUUGUAUUUUUGUAGAGAUGGGGUUUCACCAUGUUGGCCAGGAUGGUCUUGAACUCCUGACCUCAGGUGUUCCGCCCGCCUUGGCCUCCCAAAGUGCUGAGAUUACAGGCAUGAGCCACCGCACCCUGCCUAGGAAUCAGUAACGUGUGUGUGUGUGUACGCGCGCCAAAGAUUUAUUUCUUCAUUUCUUGCAUUUCAAGUACUCUUCGAUGUCAUCCUUGGCCUGAGACUCCUUGCCAUAGUCCUUAACUACUACACAACUGCAACCAACCACUUUACGGGGUUUCCCCUCUCUGUCGAUUUUUACAGAGCCCUACCCAUUCUCCUAGUUUCUUGUUGUCAUCAACCUUAAUUAGGUUGAUUUGGUGUUCAGCACAAAGGCCUCCACCAACUUGACAUACAUAGUAGGCUCAUCAUAGUUGGAUGCAAGCACACAAAGAUGGGCUUGGCGUUUGUCUAAGGCUUUGGCAGCUUCGCGAAUUCCACGUGCUAGGUCAUGGUGGAUGAGAGCGGUCUUCAGCACCUCUUGUGAAGCAGUAUUAACAUCCAUUACCCCUCCAGCAGCAAUGCCUUCCUCGGCCGUGGCGGUGGGUUACAAGUGAAGCUGAAUCUUGAAGGUACCCAAGCCUCCGCCUCCGCGCAACUCGGCAGCGGCAGGGAAAGAGAAGGAAUCAAUAACUCUCUAGGUAACUUGAAAUCACAGACAUUUUUAACUACAUUUGCAACUUCAGAAAUGAUACAAGACGUGCGCCUUGCAAAAGCCAAUUCAAACAGUACAGAAAGGCAUAAAGUAAAAAGAAAAACUGCUCCUCCCCCGCAAAGCCCUGCCCCAGUAGCGUGUAUACUUUCCUAAUAUUAGUCUAUGCACAAGCACAUAAAUGAAUAUUUUACAAGAUUGGGGUCUGCGUGUGGCUUGUUUUCACUCAUGGCCUUCUUUAUGCUGUUUUUUAAACUGUGGUAUGAAUGAAAUGGGUGCACCAUGAUUUAAUAAUUCUAUUGCUGAAUUAAUGCUUAAAGGCUGCUCCAGCUUUUUGCUAAUGCAAACUGUAGUGAACACGCUAAUACCUCUAUGUUUAUGUUUGUGUACUUUUGUGAUUGUUAGAUUCAAAUCCAAGAGUCAUCAUUUUUCUUUUUUUGAGGAGUCUCUCUGUCGCCCAGGCUAGAGUGCAAUGGCACGAUCUCGGCUCACUGCAACCUCCGCCUCCCAAGUUCAAGUGAUUCUCCUACCUCAGCCUCCCAAGUAGCUGGAAGUACAGGCACCCACCACCAUGCCCAGCUAAUUUUUGUAUUUUUAGUAGAGACGGGGCUUCACCAUGUUGGCCAGGCUGGUCUCAAACUCCUGACCUCAAGUGAUCUGCCGGCCUCAGCCUCCCAAAGUCCUGGGAUUACAGGUGUGAGCCACCCCACCUGGCCCGUUUUUCCUCUUAUUGCCUCCUAUCCAAUCCUUCAAGUCCUGGCAUUCAAGGCCUCCAAAAUACAUUAACCCAAUAGCGUUAAUUUUUCUCCAUCUCCACUGCCGCUCCGGUCCAAAUUACCAUUCACUCUCACCUAGUCUAUUACAAAGCCUUCGUUGCUCUCUGCUUCCCUCUUAGCACCCUGUAGUCCCUUCACACAGCAACCAAAGUGGUCUUUUCAAAUGUAAACAAGUUGUUGUCACUCCUAGCUUCAACCCCUCUGUGGCUUCCAAAUGUGAUGAGAAUGAAAUCCCAUCUCGUCACUGAGGCCUAAAAGAAUCCACCCAAUCUGACUCAUACCCACCUCCCUGACCUCAACACAUACCACAAGUACCCUUUUCCUUCUCUCUUCCUAUUCUUGAGCCACGCUAGCCUUCUAUUUUCCAGCAAAGCCCAUUCUCACAUCCGAACCUUUGCACAUGUUGCUGAUUAUGCUGGAGAAACUGUCCUUUGAUUCUAUGUAACUAACGCCAUUUUGCCAUCCUGAGACGACUUCUUUUUCGGUAGCUCCCACUCCAACCCCCAUCAGCCUCCAUCACAUUUGCCUGUUUAUAAUUCAUGUCAUUACCAGAAAUUUGCUUUCUUAUUAACUAUCUCUUGUCUAAAAUACAAACUCCAUGAAAGGGCUCCUGUCUCCUACACUAUGCUAUUCCUAUCACCUAGAACAGUGCCUGGUACAUAAAAGGUGCUGAAAAAAUAUUUCCCCAGGCUGGAGUGCAGUGGCAUGAUCACAGCUCACUGCAGCCUUGACCUCCCAGCUCAAACGAUCCUCCCACCUCAGCCUCCCUAGUACAUGAGACUCUAGGCACUAGCCACUAUAUUUGGCUCAUUUUUCGUUUUUCGGAGGUUUUUUGUUUUCUUUUUUCCUCGAGAUGGAGUUUCGCACUGUCACCCAGGCUGGAGUGCAGUGGCGCGAUCUUGGCUCACUGCAAGCUCUGCCUCCCAGGUUCAGGCCAUUCUCCUGCCUCAGCCUCCCAAGUAGCUGGG
rnacentral:lncRNA from 1 species